UUAGGUUAAGUUAUGAAGGGCGCAUGGUGAAUGCCUUGGUACUAGGAGCCGAUGAAGGACGGGACUAACACCGAUAUGCUUCGGGGAGCGGUAAGUACGCUUUGAUCCGGAGAUUUCCGAAUGGGGCAACCCAAUCAGCUUAGUCGCUGAUUACUUGACUAGUGAAUACAUAGCUAGCAAGAGGUAGACGCAGUGAACUGAAACAUCUUAGUAGCUGCAGGAAGAGAAAGAAACAUCGAUUCCCUGAGUAGCGGCGAGCGAAAAGGGAAGAGCCCAAACCAACAAGCUUGCUUGUUGGGGUUGUAGGACUGAACAUUAGAGUUACCAAAGUGCGACGUAGUCG
rnacentral:rRNA from 2 species